rfam:Pteropus alecto contig86458, whole genome shotgun sequence.
CAUUAUGGCCCUUCCAUUAAAAAACUAAUGGCACCUGAUCCCGUCUAAUCUCAGAAGCUAAGCAAGGUCUGGCCUGGUUAGUAUAGUACUUGGAUGGGAGACCACCUAGGAAGACCAGGUGCUGUAGGCG